AGAGAGACCGGAACUUCCCGUGCUCAUAGCCUUUUCGAUUCCUGUCGAUCUCUAUGACACUUGGAUCGAAAGACUGUAAGUUGUGGUGUUUGCUUAGAAUGAGUUAGAGUCUAAGCCAUUUAAUAAAGCCGUACAGGUUGACUCAGUUAACCCGGGAAGUACCGGCUAGGCUAAGACUCUGGCUUGUACUUAGUGAACAACCAUUCCCGUUUCUUUUAGCCCAGGGAUCGGACAUCCGCCGAGAGGGCUAAGUUGUUUU
rnacentral:lncRNA from 1 species